GUCCACGCCCUAACGAUGCAUACUUGGUGUGAGCCAUUCAGUUGGUUCGUGCCGGAGCUAACGCGUUAAGUAUGCCGCCUGGGGAGUACGGUCGCAAGGCUGAACUCAAAGGAAUUGACGGGGCCCGCACAAGCGGUGGAGCAUGUGGUUCAAUUCGACGCAACGCAAAGAACCUUACCUGGGCUCGAACGGCUUUUCAACGUUUGUGGAAACACAGAUAUCCCGCAAGGGAGUAGAGUCGAGGUGCUGCAUGGCUGUCGU
rnacentral:rRNA from 1 species